rnacentral:rRNA from 1 species
UACAGAGGAUGCAAGCGUUAUCCGGAAUGAUUGGGCGUAAAGCGUCUGUAGGUGGCUUUUUAAGUCCGCCGUCAAAUCCCAGGGCUCAACUCUGGACAGGCGGUGGAAACUACCAAGCUGGAGUACGGUAGGGGCAGAGGGAAUUUCCGGUGGAGCGGUGAAAUGCGUAGAGAUCGGGAAGAACACCGACGGCGAAGGCGCUCUGCUGGGCCGACACUGACACUGAGAGACGAAAGCUAGGGGAGCAAAUGGG